GGAGAGUGCCAAAGGCUCUGAUCUAGGAUUUGGGGCACUAGGUGGCAGCUCAGGAGGCGAUGCCAGUGUGGGCAUUUCCCGAAUUUCUCCUCCAGAUGAGUAAAGGUUCGACCGGGGAGGCGGUGAUCUUAGAAGAGUUCGAGGUUCAGGCUGAAGUUUGUGCCAAGUCAGAAAUGAGGCUUCGAGGCAGAUGAUGCAAGUCCAAAUGCAAGCAGGGAGGGUGCCGAAAGGCUGUUAUGGAAACUAGCGGUGUUGCUAAGUUGUAUGCUAUGCAUUUAUCAUAUAUGUAUUCAUGUGGUUGAAUGUAAAUGUUGUUGAGUGCUUGAU